rnacentral:rRNA from 1 species
CCUACGGGUGGCUGCAGUCGAGAAUCAUUCACAAUGGGGGAAACCCUGAUAGUGCGACGCCGCGUGGGGGAAUGAAGGUCUUCGGAUUGUAAACCCCUGUCAUGUGGGAGCAAAUUAAAAAGAUAGUACCACAAGAGGAAGAGACGGCUAACUCUGUGCCAGCAGCCGCGGUAAUACAGAGGUCUCAAGCGUUGUUCGGAAUCACUGGGCGUAAAGCGUGCGUAGGCUGUUUCGUAAGUCGUGUGUGAAAGGCGCGGGCUCAACCCGCGGACGGCACAGGAUACUGCGAGACGAGAGUAAUGGAGGGGGAAGCGGAAUUCCCGGUGUAGCAGUGAAAUGCGUAGAUAUCGGGAGGAACACUCGUGGCGAAGGCAUCUCACGGAUCCGCGAUUGACGCUGAUGCACGAAAGCGUGGGUAGCAAACAGGAUUAGAUACCCUUGUAGUC